rnacentral:rRNA from 1 species
AUUGAACGCUGGUGGCAUGCUUUACACAUGCAAGUCGAACGGUAACAGGGUGCUUGCACCGCUGACGAGUGGCGAACGGGUGAGUAAUGCGUCGGAACGUGCCGAGCAGUGGGGGAUAACGCAUCGAAAGGUGUGCUAAUACCGCAUACGUACUGAGGUAGAAAGGGGGGGACCUUCGGGCCCCCAGCUAUUCGAGCGGCCGACGUCUGAUUAGCUAGUUGGUGAGGUAAAGGCUCGCAAAGGCGACGAUCAGUAGCGGGUCUGAGAGGAUGAUCCGCCACACUGGGACUGAGACACGGCCCAGACUCCUACGGGAGGCAGCAGUGGGGAAUUUUGGACAAUGGGCGCAAGCCUGAUCCAGCCAUGCCGCGUGUCUGAAGAAGGCCUUCGGGUUGUAAAGGACUUUUGUCCGGGAGCAAAUACCCAGUGCUAAUAACGCUGGGGGCUGAGAGUACCGGAAGAAUAAGCACCGGCUAACUACGUGCCAGCAGCCGCAGUAA